GACAGAGGUCCCAAGCGUUAAGCGGAAUCACUGGGCUUAAAGCGUGUGUAGGCGGACUUCUAAGUACCUUGUGAAAUCCCACGGCUCAACCGUGGAACUGCUUGGUAUACUGGUUGUCUUGGGCCAUCUAGGGGCUAGCGGAACAACGGUGGAGCGGUGAAAUGCGUAGAUAUCGUUGGAACGCCAAUGGUGAAAACAGCUAGCUGGGGA
rnacentral:rRNA from 1 species